CGAAACUGCCUUUCAGGCAUCCUCUCCCAAAACUUCCACGGCCCGGACGGCAACGUCCGGGCCUUUUUUUGUCUGCAA
rfam:Novosphingobium pentaromativorans TS6-1 contig00018, whole genome shotgun sequence.